rnacentral:rRNA from 1 species
ACGAACGCUGGCGGCACGCUUAACACAUGCAAGUCGAACGAGAGAAGAGGAGCUUGCUUUUCUGAUCUAGUGGCGGACGGGUGAGUAACACGUGAGCAAUCUGCCUUUCAGAGGGGGAUACCGAUUGGAAACGAUCGUUAAUACCGCAUAACAUAAUUGAACCGCAUGAUUUGAUUAUCAAAGAUUUAUCGCUGAAAGAUGAGCUCGCGUCUGAUUAGCUAGUUGGUAAGGUAACGGCUUACCAAGGCGACGAUCAGUAGCCGGACUGAGAGGUUGAUCGGCCACAUUGGGACUGAGACACGGCCCAGACUCCUACGGGAGGCAGCAGUGGGGAAUAUUGCACAAUGGAGGAAACUCUGAUGCAGCGAUGCCGCGUGAGGGAAGAAGGUUUUAGGAUUGUAAACCUCUGUCUUCAGGGACGAAAAAUGACGGUACCUGAGGAGGAAGCUCCGGCUAACUACGUGCCAGCAGCCGCGGUAAUACGUAGGGAGCGAGCGUUGUCCGGAAUUACUGGGUGUAAAGGGAGCGUAGGCGGGAUCGCAAGUCAGAUGUGAAAACUAUGGGCUUAACCCAUAAACUGCAUUUGAAACUGUGGUUCUUGAGUGAAGUAGAGGUAAGCGGAAUUCCUAGUGUAGCGGUGAAAUGCGUAGAUAUUAGGAGGAACAUCAGUGGCGAAGGCGGCUUACUGGGCUUUAACUGACGAGGAGGCUCGAAAGCGUGGGGAGCAAACAGGAUUAGAUACCCUGGUAGUCCACGCCGUAAACGAUGAUUACUAGGUGUGGGGGGACUGACCCCUUCCGUGCCGCAGCAAACGCAAUAAGUAAUCCACCUGGGGAGUACGACCGCAAGGUUGAAACUCAAAGGAAUUGACGGGGGCCCGCACAAGCAGUGGAGUAUGUGGAUUAAUUCGAAGCAACGCGAAGAACCUUACCAGGUCUUGACAUCGUAUGCAUAGCUCAGAGAUGAGUGAAAUCUCUUCGGAGACAUAUAGACAGGUGGUGCAUGGUUGUCGUCAGCUCGUGUCGUGAGAUGUUGGGUUAAGUCCCGCAACGAGCGCAACCCUUACUGUUAGUUGCUACGCAAGAGCACUCUAGCAGGACUGCCGUUGACAAAACGGAGGAAGGUGGGGAUGACGUCAAAUCAUCAUGCCCCUUAUGACCUGGGCCUCACACGUACUACAAUGGCUGUCAACAGAGGGAAGCAAAGCCGCGAGGUGGAGCAAACCCCUAAAAGCAGUCUUAGUUCGGAUUGUAGGCUGCAACCCGCCUACAUGAAGUCGGAAUUGCUAGUAAUCGCAGAUCAGCAUGCUGCGGUGAAUACGUUCCCGGGCCUUGUACACACCGCCCGUCACGCCAUGGGAGUCGGUAACACCCGAAGCCUGUAGUCUAACCGCAAGGAGGACGCAGUCGAAGGUGGGAUUGAUGACUGGGGUG